GACGAACGCUGGCGGCGUGCUUAACACAUGCAAGUCGAACGGAAAGGCCCUGCUUUUGUGGGGUGCUCGAGUGGCGAACGGGUGAGUAACACGUGAGUAACCUGCCCUUGACUUUGGGAUAACUUCAGGAAACUGGGGCUAAUACCGGAUAGGAGCUCCUGCUGCAUGGUGGGGGUUGGAAAGUUUCGGCGGUUGGGGAUGGGCUCGCGGCUUAUCAGCUUGUUGGUGGGGUAGUGGCUUACCAAGGCUUUGACGGGUAGCCGGCCUGAGAGGGUGACCGGCCACAUUGGGACUGAGAUACGGCCCAGACUCCUACGGGAGGCAGCUGUGGGGAAUAUUGCACAAUGGGCGGAAGCCUGAUGCAGCAACGCCGCGUGCGGGAUGACGGCCUUCGGGUUGUAAACCGCUUUCGCCUGUGACGAAGCGUGAGUGACGGUAAUGGGUAAAGAAGCACCGGCUAACUACGUG
rnacentral:rRNA from 1 species